rnacentral:rRNA from 1 species
GACGAACGCUGGCGGCGUGCUUAACACAUGCAAGUCGAACGGAAAGGCCCUGCUUUUGUGGGGUGCUCGAGUGGCGAACGGGUGAGUAACACGUGAGUAGCCUGCCCUUGACUUUGGGAUAACUUCAGGAAACUGGGGCUAAUACCGGAUAGGAGCUCCUGCUGCAUGGUGGGGGGUGGAAAGUUUCGGCGGGUGGGGAUGGACUCGCGGCUUAUCAGCUUGUUGGUGGGGUAGUGGCUUACCAAGGCUUUGACGGGUAGCCGGCCUGAGAGGGUGACCGGCCACAUUGGGACUGAGAUACGGCCCAGACUCCUACGGGAGGCAGCAGUGGGGAAUAUUGCACAAUGGGCGGAAGCCUGAUGCAGCAACGCCGCGUGCGGGAUGACGGCCUUCGGGUUGUAAACCGCUUUCGCCUGUGACGAAGCGUGAGUGACGGUAAUGGGUAAAGAAGCACCGGCUAACUACGUG